rnacentral:rRNA from 1 species
AACGAACGCUGGCGGCAUGCCUAACACAUGCAAGUCGAACGAGACCUUCGGGUCUAGUGGCGCACGGGUGCGUAACGCGUGGGAACCUGCCCUUAGGUUCGGAAUAACUCCCCGAAAGGGGUGCUAAUACCGGAUAAUGUCUUCGGACCAAAGAUUUAUCGCCUUUGGAUGGGCCCGCGUUGGAUUAGCUAGUUGUUAGGGUAAAAGCCUACCAAGGCGACGAUCCAUAGCUGGUCUGAGAGGAUGAUCAGCCACACUGGGACUGAGACACGGCCCAGACUCCUACGGGAGGCAGCAGUGGGGAAUAUUGGACAAUGGGCGGAAGCCUGAUCCAGCAAUGACGCGUGAGUGAUGAAGGCCUUAGGGUUGUAAAGCUCUUUUACCCGGGACGAUAAUGACAGUACCGGGAGAAUAAGCUCCGGCUAACUCCGUG